rnacentral:rRNA from 1 species
CCUACGGGUGGCAGCAGUGGGGAAUAUUGCACAAUGGGGGAAACCCUGAUGCAGCGACGCCGCGUGAGUGAAGAAGUAAUUCGUUACGUAAAGCUCUAUCAGCAGGGAAGAAAUACUGACCUUACGGUCAGCAGACGGUACCUGAGUAAGAAGCCGCGGCUAACUACGUGCCAGCAGCCGCGGUAAUACCGAGGGGGCAAGCGUUAUCCCGAUUUACUGGGGGGAAAGGGGGCGUAGACGGUGCGCGAAGUCUGGAGUGAAAUGCCGCAGCUUAACUGCGGAACUGCUUUGGAAACUGGCGAACUAGAGUGCGGGAGAGGUAAGCGGAAGUCCUAGUGUAGCGGUGAAAUGCGUAGAUAUUAGGAGGAACACCGGUGGCGAAGGCGGCUUACUGGACCGUAACUGACGUUGAGGCUCGAAAGCGUGGGGAGCAAACAGGAUUAGAUACCCCAGUAGUC